GGGUUUGAGGGAGUCUGACGGACUUUUAAUCCGAAGGUCGUGGGUUCGAGCCCCACAGGGGGUACCA
rnacentral:tRNA from 1 species